UCCCCAGGAAAGCUCCAUCCUUUUCCCCUCGCCCAUCUUCUUCCCCUUUGCCUCCCCAAGUCGCCGGCAAUUCUCCAUGCCGCUCAGACGACUCCUCGCCGGCGAAAAUUCCAUAUUUCGUCGUCCUGGCCAUUCCACGAUUUGUCUUCCCGAUGGCCGAUACAUCGAUGUCUACACUGACGACGAUGGGACUCUCGUCACCGGCGGAUCGGAGGGCCGGCCGCCACGGCCUGUCCAAGAAAUCUUCGCCGACAUCCGGCGCCGUCAGGCGGCGGCUGAGGACGCCGCCCGUCGCCUCCACUACCCGCAGCGGCGUCCACAGCCCCGUCCACCAUCAGAUGCGGCCUCCACGAGCCAACCACCUCCAACCCCCUCCCCUCCACUCCACUCCACUCCACCAUCAGAUGCAGCCCACCCCCCUGCAACCCCUUCCCCUCCCCUCCACCGUCAGCUGCAGCCUCCACAAACCGAACCCAUCCCCUAUGCUCCAGGCAAGCCUCGCCCCUUUACACUCACCGAGCUGGAUGCGAUACGUCGACGCGUAGCAGAUGCAUCUAAGGAAUUCGCCCACUCCGACUACGCUGACGGGGAUGGGGAACUCUUCACGGACGUCGACAAGAUAUCUCAACGCGUAGCAGAUGUACGCAUGGAAGUCGCCUGCUCCGACAUCCAGACGAGGCCCUACGAUCGGCCGCAACCUCCACAGUGCGAGUACCCUUCUUAUGAUGUGCCUGAGCAGUUGGAAACGCCACUGCUAGAGCCAAAGAACACCAACACUUCAUCUUACUCCACACAGCCAGAGGCGCUAACUCAUGACAUCUUGCCAGUGUCAAGGCAAUUGUCUCCGCCUAUUUUCGCUCGCAAUCCUUCUGGUUGGCAUAUACAGUUUUUCAUCAGAAUAGAUGUCGAGGGUUCUUUCCACACGUAUCCUAGUCUGGGCGGACCAUUCCAGAGCUUGCAGGAGGCUGAGAAUGCUAUCACUAGCCAUCUUGAUGAGCUGCUCUCUCCAAUGAUGUGCACAGAUGGGCUUUCGGAUGCUGAGAUUGGUAUAUUACACGACCUUUACUGGCCUGAUGGCACAAGGCAGAAUUCUUCUGAAGGCGAUGCGGACCAUAGGAAUAUAAGCUUAUUGGUUCAAGCGUUACUGGACAAAUACAAUGAAGAUCACCAUCUUCUGGGGGAUUUUGCACAUGAACUUGAUGAUGUUGUUAUCUUCCGAGAAUUUGUUGAGGGGGAGAAAGUGGUUAGGUUCUAUCAUAUCAAUCUGGCUACAAAAACCAAAGGAGAAGAUGGUUUGCACAGUGGCGUCAACAAUCUAUUUUUUGCUGAAGUCAGACAAAUUAAAGGAGAAAAUGUAUAUGUACUCAGUUGUUUAUGUAUGGUUAAACCUACUGACAGUGGCCAAUGCUAUGGUUGCUUGAGUUAUGGAAAUAUUGAUUUGAAGCACCCUGUUGAUACUGAUAAAUACAAAGGUGGCCACACUGCCCCGCGCUCACCCUGUUGCGGUUUUGAUCUACGGUGUGAUGUACCUGCAUACAUUGAGGAUGAGGAUGAGGAGGCUAGGCUGGCGAAGGAGGAGGCUAGGUUAAGAUAUAUAUACAAGUGCCCUGCUCCGGCAAAAUUGGAUGGUGCAAGAGUGCGUGCUGGUUUGGCAAAGAGAGAGGAUGCUGGUUUGACCAAGGGAGAGUGUGGCCAGGGAAAAGCGAAAUACAUUGUGCCAGCUAGGCGUCGUCUGCUGGUUUGAGUAACCCAUCAGAACUCCUUGAUAUUGUUGCACUAUUUUCAGAAGUUGAACUAGCCGGUUGAUGUUGCAUGGCAUAACUAUUCUUUAGGUUCGAGCAAAUGAGUCGAGAUGGAUAAAUUCAAGAAGAUAAAAGCCAGUGUGCUCGAGCCACUUUCACUUUCAUCCUAGUUUUGAGAAAUACUGUAGUAUAACAAAUUUAUACAAAGACAAAUGUUAAAAGAAUAUUUCGGCCUUCAAAAGUAACCUUUCAAGGGGAGGCGAAUUGGUUACUCAGUUGGUUACAAACACGUACACUUCACAUCGAAGGGAAGACGAGUGUACAUCGAAGGGAAGACGCCAGGUUCCAGCAGCAUGCCAAAUGAGGCCCGCUACACCAUGUCCUCUUCUCUAAGAAGAACCCGAAGUUUCUGUUCGGCCUCAGUUUUAGUCGUAUGCUCAGUGACGUUGAGCAAGCUAGAUUCAGCUUUCAAAUCUAGUUCAUUAAUCAAUUGAGUGAGUCUCUCCUUUUCUCGCUUGUAAAUCCCGCUUUCUUUUCUGGCUCAACCCCUCCAGCAAUUGUUGCAAGUGUCUAAUCUUAUUAUGCCGUUGUUCAA